UACGGGGGGGGUAAGCGUUGUUCGGAAUUACUGGGCGUAAAGGGCUCGUAGGCGGCCAACUAAGUCAUACGUGAAAUCCCUCAGCUUAACUGGGGAACUGCGUGUGAUACUGGAUGGCUUGGAUUUGGGAGAGGGAUGCGGAAUUCCAGGUGUAGUGGUGAAAUGCGUAGAUAUCGGGAGGAACACCAGUGGCGAAGGCGACUACCUGGCCUGUUCUUGACGCUGAGGCGCGAAAGCUAGGGGAGCAAACGGG
rnacentral:rRNA from 1 species